rnacentral:rRNA from 1 species
UACAGGGGGUGCAAACGUUGCUCGGAAUCAUUGGGCGUAAAGCGCACGUAGGCGGUCUGUUAUGUCGGAUGUGAAAGCCCUUGGCUCAACUGAGGAAGUGCAUCCGAAACUGGCAGGCUAGAGUACUAAAGAGGGUCGCGGAAUUCCCGGUGUAGAGGUGAAAUUCGUAGAUAUCGGGAGGAACACCGGUGGCGAAGGCGGCGACCUGGGUAGAUACUGACGCUGAGACGCGAAAGCGUGGGGAGCGAACAGG